UCGGUUCCGGUUCACGCCCACCUCAGCGCAGGUCAUGAGCGGGCGACCCGGCGGCC
rfam:Mycobacterium sp. KMS, complete genome.